rfam:Beta vulgaris subsp. vulgaris Bvchr1.sca003.con0073.1, whole genome shotgun sequence.
AUCCUUGGAGACAUCUAAUAUAAUUAGAAGGAUACAUAAAAAAUUAGCAUGUACCCUACCCAAAGAUGACACCUGUAAAUCGAAAAAUGGUCCAAAUUUUU